CCCCUUCACCUGGUUGAGUCUGAAUUUCAGAUAGUGAGCAGGUGUGAGAGGAUGAGUGAGCCACAAGAUGGAGGGAGCCUACGUCAGUGGAUCCCCACAUGGAAAAGACCUCCUAUCAACUGGGAAGACCUGCACUGAAUAGAUAGGACAAAAGAACAACAGAGGCCAAAAGCUUCCAGUCCUAGUCCUGUCUUUGUCACCUGCUCUAUUACCCUGAAAAAGUCCUUGCUCUCCCUUGAGUUCUGUUUAUUUGUAAAAAGAAAGACUGGUGGAGAGCACAGAGACCAUAUUUGCCAACUUCCUCUGCAGUGGGGAUGCUCUGGCCCAUGAAACAUGCCACAUCUCUCUCCACCUCCCUUCUGGCUACAUGCAGAGAAUCUGGCAGAGAGCUCCAAGAACUGAGGGGAUGUGAAGGCACAACAAAGAAGUCCAAGUUCCUAAAGAACCAUCUGUAAAGCUGCUCAAACCAUCUGAUUAGACACAAAGAAUGCAAAGACACAAAGAACAAUCUUGCACUGCACUAAACCACCAAGAGUUGAGGAUUAUUACACUAGUGAACCUAUGAAUUCAUUCAACCUAACAUGAAUUUUAUCACAUUUUCUCCACUCUGUUAUGAAGAACUCUAACCAGAUUGUUAUGGGUCUUUUCUUUUUUAAUUAAGUUACUGAGGAUUGCAUCUGAAUUUUAAUUACAUUACUGAAUUGAUGGACUUCCACAAUAACUGUAUUUUUGCAGCCUUUCACUUGAAAUACAGAUCAUAACACAAGUAAAGACUGGCAAUCCUGUAGGUGCUCAGAUAUCUAAUUGCUGACAAGAAUCUGCACCAUAUUGGAAGGCUGAGGUGCCCUAAGUGACCUUAUCUUUUAAAACUGAUGAGUGUUUUCACUGGCACUAGCUUUUGCCAUAACACUAGUAGCUGAGCAAAGGUAACCAAAACAGAUACUGAUCCAUCAAAUGCCUUUAGACUGAUAUACAUCUGCCAGAGUAUCUAAUACUUGUACUCAUAUAUACUACUCAAAAUUAAUGCUCAGCAAGGCUGACUAUACCAGGGUUUUGGUAUCAAGUCUUUUUUUUUUUUUUUUGGAAUAUAAAGGGGCAUAGUAACAUACUGUACUUUCUAUAAGUUUAGAGUUAAACUAAGGGGAUAAGGGAGACCAUAAAAAACAAAAGGUUCUGCCAGUGACUGCUGUUGAAUUCUCUUCAUUCUUUCUUAUGCAUCCAUAAUUGAAAAGGUUCUAAGUGUGAGCCUCUUCCAGUUUCCAAGGAAUUAACCCAUGUUAAACAUUACGCUGUAAUCCUGUCCACCAACUUGCUUUAACAAUUGCAUAGAAUUGCGUAGAAUUGUGGAGGCUUAAAAAGAUGGCCCCAAAUUCUCUGAAAUUCCUUCCACUGAGAGGCCAACUUCUGUGUCCCUUCCCCUGGAAACUGGGUAGGCUGUGUCUAGCCAAUCAGUAAAGACAGUAAUGCUAUGUGAAUCCAAAGGAUAGAUUAUAAAACACCAUGUAGCUUCUGCUUUGCUCACUGGAAUACUUACUCUUGAAACCUUCAGCUACCAUGUAAACAGUCCAACUGCCAUUAAACCACAAUGCUGUGAGAAAGCGCAAAUGAGACUACACACAGAAUCCAUAUACAAAGACUGAAGACAAUAUGAAAAGAGAGACUCCAAGAUUAUAUGAAGAGCUAGUUACCAUCUGUUCCAUCUCCACAUCAUGUCUGAUUGCAACUUUAUGGAAGGCUUCAAGCUAAGACUUUCCUAAAGUAUUUACCAACAGAAACUGUGUGAGAUAAUACAAGGAUGACUAUUGUUUUAAGCCACAAAGUUAAGGUGUGAUUUGUUAAGCAGCAGUCAUAACAGAGAUAAGAAUAGUCAUUGAAGAGAAAAUCUCCACUGAAUUCCAGCUAUCAGUCACUAAGAAAUCUUUUUAAAUUUGAUACUAUCCUUUUAACACAUGUUAGUUUUAGGAAUUUCAAUAUAUUUUAUAUAAAACCAGCUAGUUUUAAACAUAACCACUAAAGAUAACUAAGCAGAGCUUUAUUUCACCAUGAAAAAAAGCUAAACACAACAAAAGUAUGGGGUUCUGGUUCAAGAUGGCAACACAGGAAGAUCCUGAACGUACUUUCUCCCAUGGACACACUGAAUCUGCAGCUAUCUAUGGAACAGCUUCCUCUAAAAAAACAAAAACAAAAACAAAAAACCUAAAAACAGGUGAAGCGACUCCUUCACAUCAGGUAAAUAAGAAGGAAACCAUAUUGAAACAGUAGGAAAGGUGGAGACACACUCGCACCAUAAACCCCAUACCUGGCACUAUGAACCACAAUCAGAAGAGAACUCAAAACCUGGAGCUUCUCCCUGAAGAACAAAGGGCUCCUACCCUACAUCAGACACCUCAACUUUUAAGGCUGUCACCUGAGAAAAAAGCCCCAAAAACAUUCAGCUCUCAAGACCCAUGGGGCUCCUGCUCACAAGACCCACAGGGCUGUGGGGAACUAAGAAACAGCUUGUAAAGGACACGCAGGACUCAUUGGCUCCAGGGCCUGGUGCAGAAGCAACCCUUCGAAAAAUGCCCAGACUUUAUGUGAUAGAGACUCAUUUUCUAACUUGAAAGCAUUGGUCUGAGGAACAGGGGCCUUCUGAGAUAUUCUCUUAGAUGGAGGCUAGUGGAUGCCACCUUCCUGCUCUCCCUCUGCCUUGCUAAGUCCAAUGAAUGCCUUAUCUCCCCCUUUCCUUUCCCUCCCUUUUUUUUCAGUGAGUGUUAUUUUUGCAAACCCCUUAUGCCACACUCCAGAGCACCAGUACCUGCCAGGGGGAGCUUCUACGCACAGUGGUGCCCCAGUAUUUACAUCUGGCUAACUGGUCUUUGUAGCUGCCACCCAGAGGACACCCCUUCACCAUCUGGCUCUGAGUGCAUGGGACUAUAACAAUCGGAAAUUCAGCCCUUGGCAGACUACCACUCACUGGACAUUAUACAGAUAACGGACUGAAACAUGCCCCCAGCCUUUCUUAGAAAGAGGUCCAUUUGCUACUUGUUCAGGACCUUUGGCCUGAGAGCAGGUUUCUGGCUUGGCACAUGUGUAGGGACCUACGGCCAUGUUAUCCGAGAAUGGAGGCCAAUGGACACAAUCUUUGUGCUGUCUGCAUGCUUCACUCCAGCUAGCUGGUAUCUUCCAGAAAGGAUCUUACACCCAUCUCUGGUGCCCUGAUUCUAGCAGCUGCUGCCAGGAGAAACCUCUGCAUUAUCUGCCUCUUGGUGGACAUUUAGGCUUAUGCUCACAGGUCCCACAGGACUAUAUCCAACAGAGAAAGAGUUACCACACCCUGAACACUGUAAGAGGCAGCAGACCCAGGUGCUUAAUCUUUCAGUGAAAGAGGCCUAUUAGGUUAUCUUCAGUAGUUGCAGCCAGAGGGGCAGGCUUCUAAUUUAACACACAUCAAAGGGCUGACUGAGACCCUUAGAGGGCUGGAACUGUUUUCACACUCUCCCUCUGCUCUGUGCCAGAGUGAUAGCAUCUCCCAGAGUGAGCUUUUACAUAUGUCUGGGCUCCAGUUUUUAGUCUGCUGCCAGGGCAUAACCCUUGACUGCCUUGCUCUGGUGGCCAGGAGGGUUGGCAUUCCUGGGUCUCCAGGACUACAACAAUCAGAAAGACAGUCCUUAGCAGGUACCAACCCCAGGGCACUAAGAGCAGACUCAAAUACCAUCAGUCUUUCUGUUUUAAAAACAAACAUAAACAAAGAGAAACAGGUUCUGAUGGAACUAUCAGUAGAAAUGUUUAAUGUCAACUGUGAAAAGAGAAAUGUCAACAGCAGAAAGAGAAAAUCAUUUGCAAUACUCAAAAUCAACCACUAUUAGGUCUAGUUCAAAGGAAGAGAUUCUUGGGGAACAAAGAAGGUUACCCUGAUCAUAAAUAUUCCUGCAUAUUUUGAGGAUAUAUUUCAAGGGCCUGUCUGGUUUCAGAGUAAGUGGCCCCAUAAGAAUGUCCUAAGGACGGUACUGGGCCAACACCACUGGGAGAGUUAAGAGACAGAAAAAGGAAGAAGGGAAGAGUAUAGUUGUCUUGUUUAUUUGUUUGUCUUGGAGACAGGUUUGUAUCCAUAUGUGAAUUUAAGCCAGCAAAUGCAAGGAAACUCAUCUCUAGGUUGAUGUGGAAAACUAAGACCAAGAGUUAAGCAGUUAAGCAAUACUGGAACCAGGCACAAUUUCCUGACCCUAUGGUAAACAACACGGUUACAAAGACUUCUCUGUCCCUAUAUUAUAAAAAAAAAACAAAAAAAAAAAAACAAAAAAACAAGUCUAGUUAUUAAAAAACUUAACUGCUUGCUCCAGAAAAUAACUGUUUCCAGAAGAUAAGAUUGUGUUCAACCAAAAUAACUUGCUUAAGAAGACUUGCUUUAGGAUCCUCACCUGCCUAUGCCCAAGAGUCUAAAACUAUUACAUCACAGAUACUUUCCAGUCCCAAUCAGCUCCCCACUUGGCCAAGACCUACCUGAACAUCACUGACUCAGUCUCUAAAGUUCCUUUAGAACUUCAGGAAAUAACCUUCCUUAAUUUUCCCAUUUGGAAAUACUACUAUGACUCUGUCAAGAGGAUGUUAGUAAAACUUGGCUUUGUUUUA